UGUUUCUGUGUAGCUAUUGCUAUCUCUAGCAACUUCCUUAAACCACCCUGGAAGGUUUAGUCCAACUAUCAUGUCCCUCAAAGGAACUGGGAGAUAGAAAGCAGCCAGAAGGGCCUUUUGUUUCUUGUGAUGUCAUGGAUAUUAUCCACCAUUAACGCCUUCCAGACAAAAGAGAAAGAAGCGUGGAGUAGAAUUGCUUCUUUCAGCCAAAGAGUUUUUAAUGAUUCAGGGAAUUCCAUAUCAGGAGAGUUUAUUUCUAACCUCCUUUGAUUCCAAAUUUUGGCCAUUUAUAGUAGGAAUGCUGUCUUAGAUCGGUUUGCAUAAUGUUAGCCCCAAAUAUGAUUUGUUUGCUUGUGGCAUAGCAAGUUGAGUAGAUCCAGUAGCCAUUGUAACAAUGUCAACAAUACAUCAGUUGAGGUACAUGCUUAGUCAAAAUGUGGCUUAGUAUGCUCUCCAUAUUUAUUUUCAGCUGAAAUUACUGCUAUUAUCAGAUGAUUCCCAAACUUGGACAUUUUCUCUUUCACAGUAGGAAAAUAUUGUGUCAUCCAGCUAAUUUUCUAUUUUUAUGCUUCAGGGAUACUCAAUGACAACUUCUCAAAUUUAAGUCUAUUGGGACUGAUUUUUUUUUUUAAAGUUGAUGCCCUUUGAGAAUGCUGUCUUCUCUGAUUUUUCUCACAGAUUUUUAUAUAAUCAUUAUAGCUUAAUCUAGGCAUAAGGGACAGUCAGGCCACAAUUACUGGGAGAGGUGGUUGCAAAUAUUGGAAUAGAAAGAUGUGACAUGUAGGCAGUCUUCUGCAUCCCUUAGGCUGCUUACCUUUGAGUUGCUGCCUCAUUCUGUGAGCAGAGAGACUAUGGAAUGGAUAAUCUCAGCAGCAGAAUGUCAGUUCUAUCUUGGGAGCCUAUCAUCAGAUGAAGGCAGGGCCUUUUUUUGUCAUAAAACGCCCAGAAUGGAAUUCCAGAAACUUUUUUGGAUGGAACCUUGUAGGGUAGGCAAGGCGGGUUGUAUGACGUGUGAGUUCCGGCACCAUUUUUUUUUUUUUACAAAAAAACCCACUGAAUGAAGGUAUACAAAAUGUAUAGACUUAGCAGUGAGUGGACUUACAGCCAUACUACAGUAAGAUUACUUACAUACUAUCUCCUUGGCGAUACAGCAGAUAUUUAACUGCAUAAAUGUAGCAAAAAUGUAUUUCUCUUUAUGUCAUCUUUCAGUCUCAUUGAUAAAACCAGUGGAUUGAUUCUAAGUAUCUGCUGAGAUUUUCAGUCACCCAGGUCAUAGUUGUCUCAAAAAUAUUCUGGGUAAGUUUUUCAUAGUAUAAAAUUUGUGCCGAUAAAGGAGAAUAUUUGCAGCUCAAGGUUGAAAUGAGGGGUCCUUGGUGUUCUCUGACCUUUGUUAUCUGAGUUUUCUUGCAGAUGUUUUAUUACCCAAACUAAGUAACAUCACUAGUGCUCAUCAGGAGUGGGGUUUGCUCUAAAUGUUUCUCAAUUCACAUAUUUUGGCUCAUAGAGUAGUGUGUAGAUGAUUUAUAUGAGCAAAACAAUGUAAUAAAAGAGGUUAGAUUUUCUCCUCCUUCCAAUAUCUCUCUAACAUCACUCAAUGGGUACAGUUUGGCUCUUUCCUAUAGAUGUUUUAACUAAAAGGCAAAUGAUUCACGACCUUUCAACCAAUAUUUUAUUCAGUCCAUGAGGUGGCAGACUAGAUCUGGGAAGAACUCUGUCAAACAACGAGAAACCUUCCGUAUAAAAGGAAAAUGCUAUACACAUUGAAAAUUAGAAAAAAAAGAUAGAGAAGGCUAGAUUUGUUUUAAUAUCUUGGCAAAAAUGUGGAGAAUUUAUACAGUAUAAUGUCGUAAUUAUAAUAUGGCCCAGACCCAAGUUUGCUUUAUACAUAUGCUAAACAAUAGGUAAUGUCUUAGUGUGUACUAUGAAUGCAGUUACAUGUGAUUUAUUGUACUGUGACUGCAGUCAAGAGAUUUGAAAGCUCAGUCAGCAAGUCCUUUUUGAGCUGGAGUCAGCAUUCCCUGUUCACAGUAUUGUACUCAAUACAGCAAGUUUUCAUACGUAACAUAAAUACACAUGCUUCUUGGCUGCUAUUUCCAGAAAUGCAUUUACAUUUCCUGUCUCUGAAAUGGGAUAAAUAUCAUUUUCACAGAGUCGCGAUGGGUCGGACACGACUUCGCAGCUAACAACAACAACAACAACUCUUUGUACUAUUGUAUUCCUUGUAGAUUAUUAUACAUUUAAUAGAGGGAUAUUUGCUUUAAAUAUCAUAUGGCCAAUGUAUAUUUCUCAUAUGUAUUAAGGAAUAAGUGCUUGAGCACAUCAGUGUAAUAGUUUAAAAUUAGUAGCAGAGUAAAGUUCUUAGGUCUUUUAAUGCCAAAUCUAUCGGUGGCUUCCUCUCCAGGAAAUGGGGCUUUGUAGGUGUUGCUGCACUUGAUUAGAUCUCAAACUUAUUUAAAUUUACUGCAAAUUAUUCAGAAAAACUUGAGUAUCUACUUUCAGUUUUGUAUUCUUUUCUCCCUUAUUUCCUCCACUUAAUUUGAUGUAUUUUUUACAGUACAGUUUUGGGGAAUUGAUGGUGUAAGCUCUGCUAUCAGUUUGCCAAAUAAAUUUUCAUUUUUAAAAGUAAAUACAACAAUAAAUUAAAUCAUAGAAGUUUUGAGAUAAUUGAAGGAAUUCUUCAUAAUGUGCAGCUCUAUGGAGCAUUAAGGUUAUUUACUGCUCAUAAUUAUGACUAUAUAUUUCUUCUUUGGUACCAAUAUAUAUUUUGGAAUGCCAUUACUGGAGAAUAUAAAUGGAAGGGUACUUUCAUGCUAAGGUAUUGGCCAUUUUUGGAUUACGAGUUUUUAGCCUGGUCUAGGAUUCAUUAUGAUUCUAAUGCCUUUUUGUAAUGCAGGUUACUACUGAUCUGUUGGAAUUUAACUUUGCAUAGUGACAUUCUGCCUUUUCAAACCUAUUAACCAUCAGGAGCAAUAAAAGAUCUGCUCCAAAAAGAAGUUACUGUUCUGAAAUACAAAGGUCAAGGAAUGUGUUGUGCAGCUGACUGAGCUGAUCUCAGUAUAAAGUGGAAGCUAUUCCAGUCCGUCUGAUGACAUUGUGGGAAGACCCAUCAAAAUAAAGGAACUCCUCACAUCACAACUACUUUUUAGAAAAAGGGAUGAAUUAAUGAAAAGAGGGAAAAGAUACCAAAAGCCAAAUUCCACUUGAAGCACUUUCACUGAAACCAUUCUUUGCUCAAGAAUCUGAAUAAUUUUUCAUAAUCUAAUCCAACCAGAAAUUAAUUACUGGUUACUUCCUUAAAUAUUUAAGCAAAAUAGCUGCUGGGUAGUUUUCUGUAUUGAGGGGCGAGAAGACUUUCAACAUGUGAUUUAGUUUAACAGUCUGAAAUCCAAUUUGUGGCACAGCUAGACAAAAUGAUGGAUACCAUGAUUAUAUGGUUGUAAUUUUUUAAAAUUACUUUUUUGGAUUUUGCAUUUACAUUUUGCAUUUUUUUAUUAUAUUCAAAGACUUAAUUUUGUACCAUCCAAUGCCAUUUUCUUUAUGUGAAAUUCUAUACAUUCAAAUGGAAUUGACUUUGCAAGGGCAGAGUACUAGACACGUACUUGGAUAAGAAUGAUAGGGUAUGUCCUUUUCAAAGAGUCCCAGAUUCAGUUUUUGUUUAUCUCCUUUGAAGGCAGGGAAAGAUUCCUGAAACCUGAGAAGCCAAUUUCAGUUAAACAACGAUUCUGCCCUGCUGUCUAAACUGAUUUCUCCUCUGCUGGUCCAGUUUAUUAAGCAACUUCAGACAUUCUUGUCCAGAUUGCAGAGGGACUGGGUUGGUGCUCAACUCCGAACUAUGGUCAUAGUAGGAUCUGGUCAUUCCUCUGUCUACCUCAUCUUGCUGGCUGGCAGGCAUGAGAAUAGUCUUCCAGUGCCUUCCGUUUUAAGGAUUGCUUCCUCUUCAUUGGUUCACAUACAUUUGCUUUCCCAGAUUUGCAUAAAUAAACACAUUCAAUCUCCUUCCCACAUUCUCUCUUUCAACAUUGAUGUAGAUUAUUUUUUCCCAUUACAAUAUCAUCAUUACUCUGAUGCUACAAUAAGCAAUGCAGCAGGGGAACAGGUUGAUCUCCACUGGUAGAUUUUCUGUACGUUUAUGAACACUUUGUAAUAAGGAUGUAUUAAUAGUUCAGCUUAAUGGAAAUAAAGCAGCAACACUGUGACUUUAAAAAUGAAAGGGAUGGUGCAUGAACUUCUGAGGUUGAGGCUAGUCCCUUGAUUUAAGUGAUUAUUGUUGGUCAUCUGUAAGAGCAUUAAACAUGAAAGUUGACAAAUGGUGGAGAACAUAUGGUAGCAGUAUGGCAGUCCAGGAUAGAAAGGUAGCCCGGGUUAGUGACCAAUCAUAGCUGGGAAGUGGGAAAGUUGGCAGUUGACUGGGCCUUCUGCUUAGAUUGAGCAAAAGAGUGGGGACCACUCUGAAAGGCUUUAAAUGGCUCAGGUUGGGAAAUAGCAGUCUGAAAUGAAAAAUGGAAACCAUUGGCGCAGGAUGGAUUUGUAACGGGAUGACAGUGGCAAUUGGAGUCAUCCAUUUCUGCAGGCUACUAAUGGCAAUAGGCCAAGCAAAUGUGCGAGUUUGACCUAAAUGGUUGGAAGAAGAUGAACCAGUAGUUUGAUUCCAUAUUUCUUAUGUUCAUGUACAUUACCACUGGAUUUGAAGAGGUAGAGCAAAUGCCUUGAGGAGGAAGUGUAAUUCUGUUUUUUAUUUCUACCCUUAGAAUCUUAUACUUUAUGUACCUAUGAUGAAUCUGGACAAGACUGCUUGCCUUUUUUUAAAAAACUUCACUGUCAAGGUAUUGAUUUCUUUAACAUGGCUGUAAUGGAAAUAUAUAAUUCUUUCGGGAACUUUUUAAAAAAGUUUUCAUCUGUUGGGAAGGAUGAGUUUUUAUUUAAAAUUUGAGAAAGCUAAAUAUUAUCUGGUCACAAUUAUACAUAUCUCUAUAAUGCUUUUAAGAAAAUAAAAACCUCUUCACAUGCAUAAAAUAGUUGCAAUUGUUAAAAAAUGCAAGAACUGAAAUAUUACUAUUUGCAAAUGUUCAAACUAUAAACUGUUUUGCACAAGAGAUUUAGUAUACCUAUAAUGUACUAAAGAAACUAAGACUGUUUUUUUUCUCUUGCCUCAGACAUUAGGAAAAAGUGGUAUCAGUGGUUUCUGUUACUUCCCAAAAAAGCAGUAAUGAUAGUAAUUGCAUUUAAUAUGAAUUCUGUUUUUGUAAUUUUAUAGUAUGCUGCCUAGAGUCAUAUUUCUUUGAAAUGGGUGAUAUAUAAAUAUAAUAAAUGAAUAUUUAAUGAUAUUUAUUUGGAUUCAAAGGAUGGGAUAUGAACACUUUAAUUAAAACAUUGGCAAUGGAGAGCAAGACCUUUCAACAUAUUUGAUUUGGUCUGUUGCCCUUGCUAUUAUUAUCUCUUCUGUUUUAUUGGUUUUAUUGUAUUUGAUUGUUGUGAACUGCCCAGAGUCACCCAGGUGGCAUAAGCAUUUAAUAUAGCACACUAUUAAACAGGGUAGUCUGUAUCCCUUUCCAUCAUUUCAUCACAUUUUUUUUCUUUCCAGCUGGCAUUCCAGUGUUCUGUGGCUACUAAAACAGGUUUUUUUGGAUCAAGUCUAGGUAAUCUCCACUUUCCCUCCUUUUAACUGCCAAUGUAAAGAACAAAAGGAUGUGGAAAAGUGUCUGGCACCAGAACUUGAGAACACUGCUUUAGAAAUUAGAGAAAAAAUAAAA